UAAUAAAGGAUUGAUUUAAGUAUUGAAAGAAGUAUCUUAGGAUUUCAACUAAUUUCUUGUUAGACAGUUAGUACCCUUCUAAUAUGCAAAUAUUUAAUAUAUAACCAAUCAAGAUAUAGCCUAUCUGGAGAGAGCACGAUGCACAUCCAUUGGAUCACGGCCUGUUCCUUUGGAGUAUAAGCUAAUCAAGGUUGUGUAUAUAAAAGGAAUCGUAUUUAGAAAUAGACUAUCUCAAGAGCAAGAGCAUGAACCGUAUUCUUAGGUCACAGCUUGUCCCAAGAGUCAUAGGCUAUUCUAAACUAUGAUCUCAUACAAAGUAAAUAAAAAACAUCUAUAGAUAAGAAGAAAUAAAAUAAGUCUUUUAUUGCAUAUAAAGAAGAAAGU
rnacentral:lncRNA from 1 species